rnacentral:rRNA from 1 species
UGGCGGACGGGUGAGUAACGCGUGGGUAACCUGCCUUACACAGGGGGAUAACACCUGGAAACAGGUGCUAAUACCGCAUAAGCGCACAGGGCCGCAUGGCCCGGUGUGAAAAACUCCGGUGGUGUAAGAUGGAUCCGCGUCUGAUUAGCUUGUUGGCGGGGUAGAGGCCCACCAAGGCGACGAUCAGUAGCCGGCCUGAGAGGGUGGACGGCCACAUUGGGACUGAGACACGGCCCAAACUCCUACGGGAGGCAGCAG